rnacentral:rRNA from 1 species
AAUAGAUACCCGGGUAGUCCACGCCGUAAACGAUGUCGACUUGGAGGUUGUUCCCUUGAGGAGUGGCUUCCGGAGCUAACGCGUUAAGUCGACCGCCUGGGGAGUACGGCCGCAAGGUUAAAACUCAAAUGAAUUGACGGGGGCCCGCACAAGCGGUGGAGCAUGUGGUUUAAUUCGAUGCAACGCGAAGAACCUUACCUACUCUUGACAUCCAGAGAACUUAGCAGAGAUGCUUUGGUGCCUUCGGGAACUCUGAGACAGGUGCUGCAUGGCUGUCGUCAGCUCGUGUUGUGAAAUGUUGGGUUAAGUCCCGCAACGAGCGCAACCCUUAUCCUUUGUUGCCAGCGGUCCGGCCGGGAACUCAAAGGAGACUGCCAGUGAUAAACUGGAGGAAGGUGGGGAUGACGUCAAGUCAUCAUGGCCCUUACGAGUAGGGCUACACACGUGCUACAAUGGCGUAUACAAAGAGAAGCGACCUCGCGAGAGCAAGCGGACCUCAUAAAGUCGUCGUAGUCCGGAUUGGAGU